rnacentral:rRNA from 1 species
GUCCUAUUUGUAAAAGAUUUUAGGUCUGUCCUGCCCAUUGACUAUGGUUUAACGGCCGCAGUAAUUUGACUGUGCUAAGGUAGCAUAAUCAUUAGUUUUUUAAUUGAAAACUGGAAUGAAAGGUUGAAUGAGAAAAUAGCUGUCUCAAUAUAAUUAUUUGAAUUUUACUUUUAAGUAAAAAGGCUUAAAUUUGAUUAAAAGACGAGAAGACCCUUUAGAGUUUUAUUAAAUUAAUUUAAGUUAAUUUUUUGGUAUAUAUGAAAAAUUUAUUUAUUUUAUUUGAUUGGGGUGAUUAUUAAAUUGAAUUAACUUUAAUUUUUUUUAACAAUAAUUUUUGGUUUAUUUAUUGAUCCAUUAUUUAUGAUUAUUAGAUUAAAUUACCUAAGGGAUAACAGCGUAAUUUUUUUAGAGAGUUCAAAUCGAUAAAAUAGAUUGCGACCUCGAUGUUGGAUUAAAAUAAAUAAUUGGUGUAGAAGCUAAUUUGUUUGGUCUGUUCGACCAUUAAAAUUUUACA